AAACCAGCACCUCAAGUGGUCAGGAUGAUUAUUGGGCCUAAAGCAUCCGUAGCCGGCUCUGUAAGUUUUCGGUUAAAUCUGUACGCUCAACGUACAGGCUGCCGGGAAUACUGCAAAGCUAGGGGGUGGGAGAGGUAGACGGUACUCGGGAGGAAGUGGUAAAAUGCUUUGAUCUCUCGAUGACCACCUGUGGCGAAGGCGGUCUACCAGAACACGUCCGACGGUGAGGGAUGAAAGCUGGGGGAGCAAACCGGAUUAGAAACCCGAGUAGUCC
rnacentral:rRNA from 1 species